AGACAGAGGGGAAGGUGCCGGUUGCACUGGGUGCAAGCUGGAGGGUUUACCCCAUUUUCUGUUUGUUUAAAUACCUUUGUUUUAAGUUUGAAGCCUUAAUAAAGAACGUGCUUGAGAAAUUCCCUUGUUGCGUCCUUCUGAGAGCUGGGCUGCGACAUAGCCUAUAUCCACACCGCCCUGAUUGCCAGCCAUCUUACUGUCAUUUUCGGCAAAUACGCACACGCACUGCCUACCUCUGAUAUGUUUAUUGCACCUUGUGAUGGGCACCAUGGAACCGGUGACACUAUUCAAAUUACUACUUUGAAUUGUGACACAUGUUAGUGGGGAGUUUCACAUGUGAUAUGCCGAGCCUUCCAAAGCCCUUUAUAAAUACGGAGUUCACGAAUCGCAUGUGGUUAUACACUGAGAUUACCGUAAUGAUCUCCAUUACCAGCCCUUUCGACAAGAGGGCGGCGGAGCAGACGGGAGCAGGGCUAGAAUAAAACGGCAGGGGGGAAAAAUAUGGGAUUUACAUACUCGCAAGUCUUUACUAAAUAAAGUGCCACACUAACACUCGGCUAAUGUAUACUCAGAAACGUUAUUGGUCUAACCAUAUGACGCAAGUGAACAUUUCUCAACUUGGAUGCAGAGUAGGCUAGUAGGCUACGGGCUAAUACAAUCUAUGACCAAAAAUGCGCAGCAAGGUGGGUAUCGUUCGGAGCUCAAAUGUAGCACUCCUUGAAACCUGCCCUUGAACACAAAUCUGUCAUCACAGGCGAAAAGAAAGACGACAGUCUUAAUGAUACCAAGAAAAUUAAGAGAAUUUAUCCCAUUAUGACUAAAUAAGAUGCAAUGACACGUAUUACCUGUAAAAGAAGAUCUUCAGCUAGUAAUAUUAUUAAAAGUUCAUAGCUUGCUUCCUUGCAGAAAAAUGAAAGCGCUGAGUUGCACUCUCACCCCUUGUGCUAUCCGCUGGAGAACGGGGCGCGGAACACACGUAUGGGUACUUAAAGAUGCAAUGGCAUUUUUUGAUGUGCACGCGCGUCAAUCAAAAGAACAACGUUUGCUGAUACACCUAAAAUGUUCGAGAGGUUUGAGAGGC
rnacentral:lncRNA from 1 species